GCCAACUUAGCACAGGGGUAGUGCAACGCCCUCGUAACGCGUAGGUCGCUGGUUCAAAUCCGGCAGUUGGCACCA
rnacentral:tRNA from 1 species